UUAUUUUAUCAAUAUUGUUUUUCUUGUAUGGAGACCAUACUGAACUAGCAUAGUCCAAAUGAGUUUUGAUCAUGGUUUUAUACAAUGCUAUGAAUGUCUCAGUACCCAAGUAUUUGAAAGUUCUUUUGCGAACUUCAAAAAUGAAGUUGGCCUUAUUCAAGUUUUCACUCUUUAACCUUUGCUAUUGUAUGGUUUAGUAGACUGUGAUUUGUUGAGUGGUCAGUGUUAUUUGAUUUCUUACAUAUUUUGAUGUAUUUACAUUUUUCAGGGUGAAACGUUAGUAGCCAUUUGUCAAUUUUCUUCUUUUGCUUUUGAUUAUUGUCCUUUAUUAUUUAAUAGAUUUCAAUCUUGCAUUUUUUAUUCUGCUUUAUUACAAUUUUCAAAUUUUGUACAGGUUAAAACCAUUUUUAAGCAGUAUUUUGUACAUGUUGUAACAUGUACGAGGUACUUUUGUACAUGUUAUAACUUGUAUUUUGGCAUUGUACAGGUUAUAACAUGUACAAUAUUUUUGUACGUAUUAUAACCUGUACAAAAUUCCAACUUGUACACGACAUAUAUA
rnacentral:lncRNA from 1 species